rnacentral:rRNA from 1 species
GACGGAGGAUGCAAGUGUUAUCCGGAAUCACUGGGCGUAAAGCGUCUGUAGGUCGUUCAAUAAGUCAACUGUUAAAUCCAGCCGCUCAACGGUUGGGCUGCGGAGGAUACUACGUGGCUAGGAGGCGGGAGAGGCAAGCGGUACUCAGUGGGUAGGGGUAAAAUCCUUUGAUCCAUUGAAGACCACCAGUGGCGAAGGCGGCUUGCCAGAACGCGCUCGACGGUGAGGGAUGAAAGCUGGGGGAGCAAACCGG